rnacentral:rRNA from 1 species
GAUGAACGCUGGCGGCGUGCCUAAUACAUGCAAGUCGAGCGAAGCGGGGACGGGUGAGUAACACGUGGAUAACCUCCUAUAAGACUGGGAUAACUUCGGGAAACCGGAGCUAAACCGGAUAAUUAUAGAUGGAUCCGCGCUGCAUUAGCUAGUUGGUAAGGUAACGGCUUACCAAGGCAACGAUGCAUAGCCGACCUGAGAGUGGUAGCAGCCAAACUGGAACUGAGCCACGGUCCAGACUCCUACGUGAGGCAGCAGUGGGGAAUCUUCCUCAAUGGGCGAAAGCCUGACUGAGCAACGCCGCGUGAGGGAUGAAGUUCUUCGGAUCGUACAACUCUGUUAGUAGGGAAGCGGCACCUAAUCAGAAAGCCACUGCUAACUACGUGCCAGCAGCCGCGGUAAUUC